rnacentral:rRNA from 1 species
UACGUAGGUGGCAAGCGUUGUCCGGAUUUAUUGGGUUAAAGGGUGCGUAGGCGGCUUGUAAGUCAGUGGUGAAAUAUGGCAGCUUAACUGUCAAGGUGCCAUUGAUACUGCGGAGCUUGGAGUACAGAUGAGGUAGGCGGAAUUGACGGUGUAGCGGUGAAAUGCUUAGAUAUCGAUCAAGAACACCUAUAGCGAAGGCAGCUUACUAGGCUGAUAACUGACGUGAGGCACGAAAAGUG